UGGGGAAUAUUGGACAAUGGGCGAAAGCCUGAUCCAGCCAUGCCGCGUGUGUGAAGAAGGCCUUUUGGUUGUAAAGCACUUUAAGCGAGGAGGAGGCUACUUGGAUUAAUAAUCUAGGAUAGUGGACGUUACUCGCAGAAUAAGCACCGGCUAACUCUGUGCCAGCAGCCGCGGUAAUACAGAGGGUGCGAGCGUUAAUCGGAUUUACUGGGCGUAAAGCGUGCGUAGGCGGCUUUUUAAGUCGGAUGUGAAAUCCCUGAGCUUAACUUAGGAAUUGCAUUCGAUACUGGGAAGCUAGAGUAUGGGAGAGGAUGGUAGAAUUCCAGGUGUAGCGGUGAAAUGCGUCGAGAUCUGGAGGAAUACCGAUGGCGAAGGCAGCCAUCUGGCCUAAUACUGACGCUGAGGUACGAAAGCAUGGGGAGCAAACAGG
rnacentral:rRNA from 1 species